rnacentral:rRNA from 1 species
UUUUUGCAAUAACAUGCAAUCAAUACAACUUUCAACAACGGAUCUCUUGGCUCUCGCAUCGAUGAAGAACGCAGCGAAAUGCGAUACGUAAUGUGAAUUGCAGAAUUCAGUGAAUCAUCGAAUCUUUGAACGCACCUUGCGCCCCUUGGCAUUCCGAGGGGCACACCCGUUUGAGUGUCGUGAAAUUCUCAAAACCCUUUCUUUUGGUCUUUUUGNCNGUGGAAAGGAUUUUGGACUUGGAGGCCUUUUGCUGGUUUCACCUUGAAGCGAGCUCCUCCUAAAUGAAUUAGUGGGGUCUGCUUUGUCGGUCCUUGGCGUGAUAAGUCGUUUCUACGUCUCGGAUUUUUGGCACUGUACACCUGCUUCUAACCGUCUCAUCGACAACGAUGGUGCUCCGGUCACCGCCGAUUCUUCGGUUGGGAGGCUUGACCCACGAAACAAACCUUGACCUCAAAUCGGGUGAGACUACCCGCUGAACUUAAGCAUAUCAAUAAGCGGAGGAAAAGAAACU